GAAUACAACAUAUUAAAUAUUACUAAUAAUGCACCAAAAAGUUAAUAUGCUCACUUCAUCACAUCAACAUCAAAGAAGGUAUUGUAUAGCAAUAGUCAAGGAGCACACAUUAAGUAAAACUAUCUUUUAAUGACUUAAUAAAAUAAUCCUGGCUAGAUACAAAUUCCCCCCCCAACAAGCACAUUCCCAUCAAAUUUAAAACUGACAAAGAGAUUUUCUCAAGAAUUCUGUAAAGCCAUGCCAUAACAGAUAACUCUUUUGAAUAAAUUUUCCCAUUCCAGCACUCUUAAAAAUAAUCUGUCACAAGAUUUUAAAAGACUAAUCUUUAUCCCUCUAAAAAUUCCCACAAAAACAUAGUUCAUCUUUCUAAUAAAUGGUGAAGUUCUUGCUAGUACACCAGUCUUCUGCUCUCUGUUGUACAACUAAAGGUGUUUUAUAAAUUGCUCACUUCCAUGACCAAAUAAGGAAAUAUCAACCCUUUUCUUAAGGAUUUAAAGUUUCCAAAUUCCUAUUUAGUUGAACUUGCAGUCCAAUAUCAUUAAGAUUAUAUAUAAGUUAAGUGUUAUGGAUUCUUCAUUCCAAAAUAUAUGGGAAUUAGAUGGAAGCCUUACCCCCAUGUAGUAUCAAAGCUUUCGUACUGUGUACAGCUCCAGAAACAUUGAUGUAAUGAUCCUAAUUAUUUUUAAAUACUCAUGUUAAGAAAAUACUGCACUGCUACUUCAAAGAUACAGACUCUGGAAGGUCUCAAGACUUUAACUGUUAUGCCAACUUUAAAGAAUAAGCAAUACCAAGUAAAAAGACAGAUCUACAGUGAAAUUAUUUCUAGGAAAUGGCUUGUGAAUAAUACUACCACUGCAGAGCACUCUAAUACAGAGAUUGUACAAAUUAAUUUGCUUUAGAUACACCAUCAUUUUCUUGUCUAUUGCUGCGGUAGAUGUAGUAGCUGCCACCGGCCAGCUGUGGGCUGAGCUUCACAUGCCCACCAGAAAAGAUGUUUGGCUGUUUGGGCAGCAAACACAAGCCAGAAGCCUUUUCCCCAGCUUCUGUGGGAAGGAGAUGGUGGCUUGCACGUUCCCCCAUGCUUGUUUCAUGCCACGUUGAAAGAUUCUGUAGGUGUCUUUGGAAGCUUCUGAUUGAAUGAAUCCAAGAAACUCUUUCCCCAAGCCAACCAAUUCAAGCAGCUAAGACAAUACAAGACCCCAAAGAAGAAGUUCCUAAGGUACUGCAAGCACAAUACCAUCUUAAACCAUCAUGUUCCAUCAUAUUACAUUAAAACAUUUCUGAAAAUAUUUUAGUCCUUAAUACAUCAUGCCCAGCACUCUGAGCAUGCUAACGAUCUCCCUUUAUCUCCCAACACUACUCCUUUUUAUUUUACUAUUAUUUUUGGCAUCAAUUUAUCCAAAAGGUGUUACCCUUGGAAAAAGCACAGUAAAAAUACACACUGCUAAACUCGCUCUUCAACAUGUAGUGUUAGCAGUGGAGACAUGCACUCAAAGAUUCAUAAAAAAAAAACCAAACUAGAGGCACAUCAGUUGUAAGCAACAUAGGAGAUGGACCUAGGUAUACAUAUUAAUGACCUGCAGAGUUAUUAAGUUGCUGGCAUGAUACAGCCAUUAAAAAGCAAAUGACAUCCAAACAUGAAUCGGUUAAACUAUUUCUUAGCAGAGAAAAAGAAAAUAUAUGUGCCAUUGCUUAAGGCACUUGAGACAUCUCACACAGACUUUUUUCAUCAUGUUCAUGGAAGACAAAAGAGGUAAAGAAAAGAGCUGCAGAAAUUACCAGAGAGAAGUCAUUUUAAGAGUAAGGCUGCAAAAUUUUUGUUUAGUCUAGCAGAAACAAAAGCUGAUACAGGAAAUAAUUAUUCUCUAAAAACACAAUAGGGUGGUAAACAGUAGGCAAGGAAAAGAACUAUUUACUCUAGCAGACAAUGUUGGCACAAGAAUAAAUGGGUGUAAUUUGGCCAUGAAUUAAUUUAGACUGGAAAUUAGAAGGUUUCUGACCAUAAAAGAGGUGAGGUUCUAGAGUAGUUUUUUUUAAUACAAAUAGUGUAGACAGAAAAAAAAAAUAGCAAUUCAAGCUAUUUAAUGAUGAAGAUUGUUAAGUUCAUGGAAAAUGCUACAGGCACAGUUUCCUAUGUAAGUAAAACACUGCAUUUUUAGCAUCCAAGACAUAGUUUCCAGCAUUAUGUUUGCUUAUUUUGUGAAAGCAUGGGAUUAAAAAAAAAAAGAAAAUAUUUAUGCAUAAAGCAUUAGAAAUAUUGCUUAAGCAAAAACCAUCCAUAUGUAAAUGAUCUUUGUAAUUAAGUUUGUGCUUUGCAACAAGAAAACAAUUUAACUUGAUAAAUAGGUUGUACUUCAGUGGUUUUGAAACUAAUUCUUUUUAAUGGGAAGAUGCAAUUUGUCACAUGCUAAUUUUCUUGGGAUUUAUAGUGUUUCUACUACUUUUAUUUUGCUUUGUUGUCUUCUUUUAGUCUUUAAAGUUCUAGGCAACAGUUUUAUCAGUGUGCGCGGACAGCAAUGGGAGACAGCUGUAAAAUGAUGUCUGAUUAUUUAUUUAUGCCGAUCUGGCUACCAGGUUCCUCAGAUAAGCAUUUGCUGUUAGUCUAAAACAGUAUUAAGGAAAAAGUAAAAAACUGAUGAUGACUGUGGAAAGAUAGAAUCUGAAUAUCAGAAAGAAAGAAGCAAACAUAAACUAAGCAUAUUUGAGUUAGAAAAAUAACAACUUAAAAUUCAGGAAGGGCAUCCAAAGAAAAUAAGGAAAAUGUUACAAAACUAAUUUGCACAAACACAGAAAGAAUUUGCUGAGAUUGCAGUUAAGAGUUUAGCCUAGAGACUCAACAGUAAAGCACUUAUUAAGAUUUACUUGUGCAGCCUCUGAUGCCUGUAAUAAUUGCACAGUUAAUAGCUAAUAAACAGGGGUCACCCAACACUGUAUUGGGUCUUGAAAUCCAGAUCUGUGUUAUAAUACUAUGCCACAUGGAGAAUUAGUUAUUUGAAAACUAAUCUACGUUCUGUCCUCAGCAGAGCCAAGAAGCAGAAAGAAAAACAAAAACCUGCAAAGGCAAAAUAGAGAUAUUCCCUUAAAGAUGUCAAAAUAUAGACGAGAGAACUCUAUUGAACCAAAGUCAAACAAUUGCAUAUAUGUAGCUUGAAGUCAUGUUAAAAACUGUUAUUUGCAAGUGUAUGUGUACACACACAUAUUUAAGUAUAUAGCUAUAGCUAUAGCUAUAUACACACAUGUAUUUAAGUAUAUAGCUAUAGCUAUAGCUAUAGAUACACAAGCAAACAUACAGAUUUACAUAUUUUUCCAGUUUUGUUGUUGACCAAAUUAUGCAAAGAUAUAGUAAAAAUAAUGCAAAACAGUUCAAGUAUGAAACUCAACUUUUGAUUCACUUUCAUUCACUUUUGUAUGAAAUAAUUGGUUUUUCUCUUCUUCCUUUUUAACCCCUUCUUACUGAUAGUCACUAGCUACUAUAUUCAGUGGCUUUUGCAACUAACAGCCAAGAUUUUACGAAUAAAAGGAGCUCACAUCAUUAAUAAUGCAAUUUCAAAUUCUUUGUGUCUGAAAUUGCCACUCAGAUACCAGUCAUGACACUGAUGAGACAGCUGCCAGUUUUCACUUUUCUGGUUUUUUUCUUUCCUUCUUAUUUCUGCUUGGGGAGUACAAAUGAGUUUUAUAAUAGUGAUAUGGUCUGGUUUAUAAGGGCACAUUUCUGAUGAGGAAUUGUUAUUUCUCCUCGUAUGUAGCUCUCAGGAGAAUGCUAUGACCAGUCUGUUGAACAAGUGACAAGACACUCCUGAGGAAUGUGUUUUCCCUCUGUGAAAACCAGUCUGCCCAUCCCAAUAGCACUCAGUCAGCAGGUGGGACUUUGUAGAGUUUUAUCACUGCUCAUAAAUUAAUAGCUCUUGAUUUAGCUUUUGAAAGUGAAAGUGCAUUUCCAGAGACGAGAAACAAAGAAAAGUUACUUUAAGUGCCAGGUUAUUGUGUGUUUUUGAAGGUUGUGCACAAUGAAAAUGCAGCUACGAAAUAGAAAGAAAUUUAAUACGUUGAGUAUAGUCAAUGGUCAGUAGAGCUCAGGUAGAUAAAAGCAAAUGGGUCUCUCAGUUAAGUUUUACACUUUUGCUGACGAAAGAGGUCACGACCAGAAACUAGAAGAUUGGCAGGGAUUUGAAGAGAUUAUUUGGUUUACACUAGGUAAAGUACAAUGCUAAGGAUUAUUAAGAAGCAGAAAAAUCAGAGUUUAUUCACAUCCCUUCUAAGUUCUGCCUCAUUUUUCAAUCCUGUACCCCAUGCUCCAUUCCUAGUGUUCUCUUUACUGUAGUUAGAUUUUAUCUAAAUUGAUAAUCUCUAGGUCUUACUUAAGACUUUCUCAUGUCUCUGCUGUGAUGCAAAGGGACAGGCAAGAUCCAAAGUUAUACUUCAAGUCAUUUUCAAACCCUGGAAGGAUUCAUGAUUUAUCUAACAAACUGAGCUUCAAAAAAUGAAAUUGCUAGUAAGGCUCCUAUUUGUCAUCAACAUUGAAAAUAUAAUGAAAAAGAGGUGAUAACCCAUGAUUUCUGAUUUCUCUUUGUAUCAGACUAGUUUGAAUUUCUGGCAGGUCCUUGUUAUACCUUUGCCAUUUGGAUACACUGAUUUUGAAGUAAGUUUUCUCAAUGGACUACAUUUUAGUCCCACAGGAAAGUUUAAUAUUUGGGAAGUUACUAAGUACUAUAUCAAUUGCCUCUGUAGCUUUUAUUGUCAGAAAAUGGAAUAAACCUAUCUGGGAGCAAUGAAGAGUAUUAAUUUAAAGUACUUUGCAAAUGGCAAUAAAUCUUAAAAGAUGGGGGGAAGGAAUACGUGUAUCAUGCUAUUUAAAAACCUGGAGAUGGAUACUUCUAAAAUAAUUAGAUAUUUGUCCACCAUCAAUGAAAACUGUCUUCCUAAUUGUGCAAAACCUGUUAUGUUCCUUCAUCUUACUUCAGUUUCAGACUGCUCAUUUAAGUAGAUUUUUUACAUAGACAUAGCAACAUUGACUAAAUCCAGAUAGUAAAGGAAUUUAAAUAACCUUAGAACCCUGAUGCAGUUCAUAAUCACCUCUUUAAGCCAAAACCAAAACCAAAACAAAACACUAGCCCAACCUUCAUGAUUAGUUACAAUAAUUAACAAAACUGAAACACACAUAAUAGGAAUAUCCACAAUUUCUAAUGGUGAAAUUGUACGUCUUGUCUAAACCAACAAGGUUCUCUACCCCAGUAUUCCAGAUUACAAUAGUUUAUUUUCUAGACUUUCUUACUACAAAUCUGUCUCUUAUAAAUGCAGUAGUCUGUCUGUGAGUAAUGACAAUGAGCGACUUACUGCGAGUUAUUUAAAUGCAAAUCCAGGAAAAUCUCUGUCUACACAGUAGGUUGUUACACAGACAUGAAAGAUUUGUUUGCAUUAUACUUAAGUGACCACUGAUAAAUAUACAGAAUGUUGGCUACCUCAUUUCUGGAAGUCACUCCAAUCCAGGCUUGAUAAGUUCUUAAAUCUUUGUAGAAGACACAGGGAGCUUUAAAACCUGGUGCUGGCAGAUCGGAGUCUGUUCAAGACUUCUAUGCAAAUUAAAUUAUAGUCACAUACAUGUAAGUUUAUGAAUGUUCUAAGAGUAUUGGUUAGGUGGUAUUAUUAUUGUUGUUGUUAUUUAGAACUUUUUUUUUCCUAACAACAGGUAUUGGGGGGGGUGUCUUUAUUUGAAUGCAAUUAUCAGUUCAUCAUUACAAGUACAUUUGCAUUUUACAUUUCUUGUAAAAAUAGAUAAGAGAAUUGCGGUGAAGUUAUUAAAAAACUGGGUUGCAUAUAAAAUGUGAAUCUCAGUUUACUGCUUAUAGCUUUACUUUUUCUGUGUUUUCUAAAAAUUACCUCUAUAUAUCUCAAAAUGGCACAUUGCUUUCUCAAAUGAUUAGUGAUUGUUCUUCAGUCAGAUAAAAAUUCAACUCUGAAGUGUAGAUCCUUUGCUUUCCCUUCAUACAGUGCUUUGCACAAUUAUAUUGUUUUUUUCUUGAUAGGCACUGUGACUAGGAACAUGGUAAUGCAAAUAUUUUUCAGCCUAUUGUUAUGAAUGUGCAGACAUUUUGGAAGAAAGUUGACUACUCAUCUACUAAUAAGAUAAACCAUCUGUUCAGAAGUAUGUACCUGCCAAGGCCACUGCUGUAGUGGAAGACGAGAGGACCUGUACAAAUCUGUGACAGUAGGAAGGUUGGGAAUUUUUCAGUACCAAAUUAAGACAGCAUUUUAAUGCUAAAUAAAUAACAAUAAUAAAAAAAUAUGGGUAGGUAUCCAGUCUGUUUCAUACAGUUAUGAUACUGCUUGACAAUUGUAUUUUAUUUUUUGCCCUUGGCACUCCCAAAGUACCGCUGAAACUUGAAAUCCUUUGGAGUGGUUAGUGUCAUGAGUUUUGUGCAUCAGCUAGCGAUCAAAAUUUCCCCAAGUUAUGUAUAGAUAUUUUCCAAGUACAGAAUUAGGAUGUUCUUAUUGCUUUUAAAGAAAAGAUACACAUAAUACAGUCAUUCUUCUCCCAGUUAUAUGAAGGUAUACACAUAAAAACCUGGCAUGGGAAGUAUAUGCAGGUAACUGACUAUGCUAAAGCUUCUCAGCACUUUUCAUUUGCAUGACCUCGUUCUCUGAUGCUUAUAAUCCUGCCAGAUUUUAACCACUCAGCUGAUAUUUUCCACACAGGGCAUUUGCAUCAGAAGACUUUUUUCCCUCCUUGUUUCUACUGUUGUUGUUGUUGUUGUCAUUAUUCCUCUGAUUGUAAGCUCUUGGCCUUAUCCCUGUUUAAAAAAUACAGGAAAUGUCCUUGUGCUGGUGUACCUCGGAGAAGUCAGCAGAGACGGAGUUCAAUGAAGGAGGCAUUGUCCCCGGGAGAUGUGCCUAUUGCUCUCUCUGUGAAAACCCACACACUUUUGGGUGUUUGAAGCUUCCUACACUUUGAAGACCAGAACGAUAAAGAACCAGUCUGAUGCCAAGCUACUGGAAACAAAAGCUCGACUGGAGGGCAGAAAGGAGAGUUAUAAAGUGGGACACUAAAGAAAAGCCUGUUAGGAGAGGAUUAGGAUUGACUAGCUAAAGACUGGGACCUAGAGUGGGAAGAGGUAGGAAAGCAAAGCUCUUGGGAAAAGAGUGGGAAGCCCGGGGAAAGGUGGAUUGAGUGGGCAGCAAGACUGUGACAGGAAGGUUACUUUCCAAAAUGGGCAAAUGCUGACAUAAACAGAAGAACCAACAGCACAGGGCAGGAAAGUUACCUUGUGCUCAAGAAAACCUCUCUUUCUUGAAGACCCUGCUCGUAAUUUACCACCUAUAGCACUGAUCAUGGGAGCAUUGAUUUCCAGCACCAUUUUCCCCUAACGCUAAUCUAUUAACUGUCUGACUCACAUUUGUUGUUGCAAUUAUUUUCAUAAAGUAGCCUAUGAGGUGAAAGAAUUGUUUAGAGUCUUAUUUACAAAAAUAAAAUAAAGCCACAGAGAUUAAUGUCACAAAUAUUGUCUAAACUUGGACAGAUAAUCUGAAGUACCAGAAAGAUUAUAUGUUUUAUUCCUUUACAGAGAAAUUAAUGUUAACUGUACUAUCAUAGACUCCAGAUACUGUUAUGAGGACUCAGCACUUCAGCAAGUCACACGUAAUGGUCAAGCAUUCCAAAGGUGAAGCACAUACCAUUAAAAAGUUUGCUUUAAGUAAUUGCCUAGCAUCACCUUCUGUGGCAGAGGAAAGGACGAACUCCAACCCUCAAAUAUAAUAAAACAAACAUAGAAUACCAAAAAAGCUGAAACUAUAAGCAAUUCAUAACCCUAUCAAUCCCAUCAGCUUGACCAAAGACAGAGCCAUUCCUCACAAAAGGUAAGUGAUAAGUUUAAUAUGAAGAAAAUAAUUCCUUUUUUGAAAAGGAAUUGCAAUAAUCCAUGCUAAUUCCAUACGGGCCAUACUAUAUCACCCAAAAUAAAGGCAAAAAUGCCAUUUUCACUAGCCAUUUAAAAUGGGAUGUAGCUGUUUAAGCUAAUACGAAAUACGUGAUCAGCUUACAUAUAUUACAGGUGCAGUGACAUAGGCAGCUACAUUUAAAUGCAAAUAAAAAGACGUUAAAAAUGUUUUUGAAGAGUAAUGCUGGGGCUAUUUAUAUAUAUGUGGAUAAACAUUAUUGUGAUGUAUUGGGUUAUGGAAACUCUUUUUCCUCAGUCACAAUAUUGAUUGACAAGUUAAAUUUUCUGGGUGACUUGGAGUUUCGAUAGAUGACACUCAUACUAGGUAUAAAUACUACGAGUUUACAGAAGACCUGCCUGUGAAACCAUAGAAACUCAAUAUGUUGCUAUUCCUCUUUAAUUACUUAAUAAUGACAUUUUUUUGGCAUUGUUUUCAUAUAGAAAACAGAAGUCUCUCAUACAUCCCUCUCCCCCAGCCUUGCCAACCAGGGUAUUGCCAUUGGGAACUGAGGAUGUGGGAUCUCAUCCAUUUCCCAUUCUCAGUGAAGCUUUUUACCAUUGCUUGCUAUCCACAGGUCAGAGUGGUGGCCAUUUGCUGUGGCUGUUGUGCUAUUGGAGAUGGUUUACAAAUGAACACAAGAGACAGAAGAAACAGAAAUGGGUGACAAUUCAUUGUCUGUGCUUGGCUAUGCAUGACUAUCUAUGAAUGAGGCACAACUGACUUGGUCUGACCUCUCCUACCUACCAGGGCAAGAGCUCGGAUUUGUGUCCCACUCAUCCAGGUUCACUGACUUGUGUUUCAGGAGUUGAGACCUGUCAGCGUCAAAACUGAAGGUUGUUUCCUGGCUCCACUGGCUCAUCUUGUCUUUCCCUUUGUAUUUCCAUCAGAGGACUCAUGCUGACAAGAUGAAGUCUGAAGCACAUAUAGAAGAGUUCCUGCUAUAGAAUAUCUGUGAGGUUUGUUAUAAUUCUAUAGAUCAGUAAGAGCCACUUUCUCUCUCACGGAUUACCUUGGGCAACAAAUAGUGCAGAGUCCAGGAGGAAGUGUCUCGUCUAAAUAGUUUUGUUGUGAAUGGGAAAUGAAGUUCCUGCAUCCUUCAAGUGACAGCAUUCACUUCCUUCCGCUGAGGCCAAUGUUAAUUUCACGCCCAUUUUCUUCAGAGGCAGUAUCUAACACUGGUAACAUUCUUUCUAAGGCUCAAAAUCUAGGUGUCUCUUAAUAAAUUAAGGAAGGAAAGAUCUUUCCUUACACCUUGUCACAAAUCUCCCAUCCCCAAGCCAUGGGAGAGAAGAUUACCUCUCAAAUCCAAAUGCUGUACUUCAAUGAAAUGGUCCUUAAUAAAACAUAAUAUUCUAUGAGGAUAGAAAGAAGUCAUUUGUCUUUGCUUGCUCCAAAGUCUGCCAGAAUGCAUGUUUAGUGAUGUAUUCUGAGCUGGAUAAGCUCAUCUGUAGACUAUCAGGA